rnacentral:rRNA from 2 species
GGUUAAGCGACUAAGCGUACACGGUGGAUGCCCUGGCAGUCAGAGGCGAUGAAGGGCGUGCUAAUCUGCGAUAAGCGCCGGUAAGGUGAUAUGAACCGUUAUAACCGGCGAUACCCGAAUGGGGAAACCCAGUGUGAUUCGUCACACUAUCAUUAACUGAAUCCAUAGGUUAAUGAGGCGAACCGGGGGAACUGAAACAUCUAAGUACCCCGAGGAAAAGAAAUCAACCGAGAUUCCCCCAGUAGCGGCGAGCGAACGGGGAGGAGCCCAGAGCCUGAAUCAGCAUGUGUGUUAGUGGAAGCGUCUGGAAAGGCGCGCGAUACAGGGUGACAGCCCCGUACACAAAAGCGCAUGUGCUGUGAGCUCGAUGAGUAGGGCGGGACACGUGGUAUCCUGUCUGAAUAUGGGGGGACCAUCCUCCAAGGCUAAAUACUCCUGACUGACCGAUAGUGAACCAGUACCGUGAGGGAAAGGCGAAAAGAACCCCGGCGAGGGGAGUGAAAAAGAACCUGAAACCGUGUACGUACAAGCAGUGGGAGCACAGGUUUACCUGUGUGACUGCGUACCUUUUGUAUAAUGGGUCAGCGACUUAUAUUCUGUAGCAAGGUUAACCGAAUAGGGGAGCCG